rnacentral:lncRNA from 1 species
AGCCGAGCACGUCGAGAGAAGCUGGACCUAUCGCAAGGGCGUGAAAGGACUGGUACUAUACCCACAAAAGAAUGCGGUCAACGAGCUGAAGAGCACUGACCAAAAAAAAAAAAAAACGAGCUGAAGAGCAACGAAAAUGGAAAACUGACACCCGCAAGUAACUUUUGGGAUUGUAGAGACGCUCGCAAGAACACCAGGAGACCUGCAAAAGGAGAAUUCAGGUGCAGCAGCAAUUUGUCAACUCAGACGGAUCGGAUGAUGACUCGUCAGCGGUAUUGUGGAGCUUGUCGGGGCCACAGGGACACCGAGACAAGUUGGGCAGCAAUGGCAAUUGAUGCAAGUGGUGUCGGAAUUGAUCUGGGAACUGGGAGCUUCUGCUGGAGAACCACAGGAGCCAAGCUGAUUUGCUGGACUUGUUGGGCGUUGAAGGUGCUGCAGGGAGUGCUGUGGCUGUGGAGGGUGGUGCGUCGCAUUGUAGGCGUAGGUGGACAGGAUAGCGAAGACGAGGAGCACAGCGACCGCGGGAAGAGGCUUCAUUCUUCUCAUGCUCUGCGGGUGUAUUCGUGUCUGUGUAUGUGCACGUAGCUUCUUUUCUAUUAUAAUGGCGCACCUUUCCU